GUCUGCAGUUAACGAUCGCCCUUGUGCCAAGCAGCCGCGGUAAUUCCAGCUCCAAUAGCGUAUAUUAAAGUUGUUGCAGUUAAAAAGCUCGUAGUUGGAUUUCUGGGAGGGUGCCAAUGUCCGUCGACGUACGUGUUGCAGCGGCGCCUUUCCAUCCUUCUGUUAACGGCUCACGGCAUUCAUUUGCUGGUGUCGGGCUCAGAUAUUUUACCUUGAGAAAAUUAGAGUGUUUCAGGCAGGCUAGGCCGGAAUACAUUAGCAUGGAAUAAUGGAAUAGGACUACGGUCUCUUUGUUGGUUUGAGGGACUGCAGUAAUGAUUAAUAGGGAUAGUUGGGGGCAUUAGUAUUUAAUUGUCAGAGGUGGAAUUCUCGGAUUUGUUAAAGACUAACUUAUGCGAAAGCAUUUGCCAAGGAUGUUUUCAUUAAUCAAGAACGAAAGUUAGGGGAUCAAAGACGAUCAGAUACCGUCCUAGUCUUAACCAUAAACUAUGCCGACUCGGGAUCGGGGGCGCGAACUAUCCGCCUUCGGCACCGUAUGAGAAAUCAAGGUCUUUGGGUUCUGGGGGGAGUAUGGUCGCAAGGCUGAAACUUAAAGGAAUUGACGGAAGGGCACCACCAGGCGUGGAGCUUGCGGCUCAAUUUGACUCAACACGGGAAAACUUACCAGGUCCAGACAUAGUGAGGAUUGACAGAUUGAUAGCUCUUUCUUGAUUCUGUGGGUGGUGGUGCAUGGCCGUUCUUAGUUGGUGGAGUGAUUUGUCUGGUUAAUUCCGUUAACGAACGAGACCUUAGCCUGCUAACUAGUCGCUGGGAUCUCUCAUCCCAGUCGGCUUCUUAGAGGGACUUUGUGAUCUAAACACAAGGAAGUUUGAGGCAAUAACAGGUCUGUGAUGCCCAAGGCGAAUUUCGCGCCGCUAAAUUCCAGUUCGCCCUAUAGUGGAGUCGGUAUUACAUCCACUGACGGUCGUUUACCACGUCCGUGACUGGG
rnacentral:rRNA from 1 species